AGAGUUUGAUCCUGGCUCAGAGUGAACGCUGGCGGCGUGCCUAACACAUGCAAGUCGAACGAGAACGGACUUAAGUUUACUUAAGUUGUCAGCUGAGUGGCGCACGGGUGAGUAAUAUAUAGUUAACCUGCCUCAAAGAAGAGAAUAAUUGUUGGAAACGACUUGUAAUGCUCUAUAUGCCUUUAUCACAUAAGUGAGCAAGGGAAAUAUUUAUAGCUUUGAGAUGGGACUGUACGGUAUCAGAUAGUUGGUGAGGUAAUGGCUCACCAAGUCUAUGACGCCUAACUGGUUUGAGAGGAUGAUCAGUCACACUGGAACUGAGACACGGUCCAGACUCCUACGGGAGGCAGCAGUGGGGAAUAUUGCACAAUGGAGGAAACUCUGAUGCAGCAACGCCGCGUGGAGGAUGACACAUUUCGGUGCGUAAACUCCUUUUAUUAGGGAAGAUAAUGACGGUACCUAAUGAAUAAGCACCGGCUAACUCCGUGCCAGCAGCCGCGGUAAUACGGGGGGUGCAAGCGUUACUCGGAAUCACUGGGCGUAAAGAGCAUGUAGGCUGAUUAGUAAGUUGGAAGUGAAAUCCUAUGGCUCAACCAUAGAACUGCUUCCAAAACUGCUUAUCUAGAGUAUGGGAGAGGUAGAUGGAAUUUCUGGUGUAGGGGUAAAAUCCGUAGAGAUCAGAAGGAAUACCGAUUGCGAAGGCGAUCUACUGGAACAUUACUGACGCUGAGAUGCGAAAGCGUGGGGAGCAAACAGGAUUAGAUACCCUGGUAGUCCACGCCCUAAACGGUGCACACUAGUUGUUGCUAUGCUAGACAUAGCAGUAAUGCAGUUAACACAGUAAGUGUGCCGCCUGGGGAGUACGGUCGCAAGAUUAAAACUCAAAGGAAUAGACGGGGAC
rnacentral:rRNA from 1 species